AUGUCGUCCUCUGUGACCCAGCGGCACCGGCCGACGACGCGGUCCAGCUCCUCAGUUGCCUUGCCAAAAAUCUCGGGCUUCUUUAGGAGUUCGGAAAUGGCCCAUUCCACAGUCACCGUCGAGCUUUCCGUGCCGCCAGCGAGUAGAUCCUGCACGCAUAUGUUUGUUCGAAAUAUAGGAAUUAGUUUGACCUCAAGAUUGGGGUCGCUGGCUACCUGAAGCAGCACAUCGACCAUGUCUUUUGCCACGAAGCUCUCCCCCUCGCGGCUGCGCCGUUCGUUGUGCUCGUCGACCACGUGUUCGAGGAACCGAUCGUACAUCUUGCUCAGCUUCUUCAUCCUCUUAACGUAACCCUGCACGUCCAUCCAGUCGAGCCACGGGAUGGAGUCACCGAUAUUGAGCACGCCGUUGAGCAAGAACAGCUCGUCGAGCAUCCACCUGAAUUCAUCAGGCGUCGUGAUCGCGGAGCCUGCCGCUUCCUUGUCCAAGUAAUUCUUGCCCAGCAUCAUGCGCGAGAUCACGUUCAAGCUCAACGUGGACAAGUAG
rnacentral:rRNA from 1 species